AGCAGCCGCGGUAAUUCCAGCUCCAAUAGCGUAUAUUAAAGUUGUUGCAGUUAAAAGCUCGUAGUUGAAUUUCGGGAUCAAUUAAUCGGUCGUGCCUCUGGUACGCACUGGUUUUAUUGGUUUCUCCCUUCUGACGAACCAGGAUGUCAUUAAUUUGGUGUCUUGGAGAAUCAGGACUGUUACUUUGAAAAAAUUAGAGUGUUUAAAGCAGGCUAACGCUUGAAUACAUUAGCAUGGAAUAAUGAAAUAGGACGUUUGAUCCUAUUUUGUUGGUUUCUAGGAUCGACGUAAUGAUUAAUAGGGAUAGUUGGGGGCAUUAGUAUUCAAUUGUCAGAGGUGAAAUUCUUGGAUUUAUUGAAGACUAACUACUGCGAAAGCAUUUGCCAAGGAUGUUUUCAUUAAUCAAGAACGAAAGUUAGGGGAUCGAAGACGAUCAGAUACCGUCGUAGUCUUAACCAUAAACUAUGCCGACUAGGGAUCGGAUGAUGUUAAUUUUUUAAUGACUCAUUCGGCGCCUUAC
rnacentral:misc_RNA from 1 species